AGUUCUUUGCCCAGCCCAAGGGCUAUUCACAGGAUGGAGGAGCAGAAGAGAAAUGAAAAGGAGAAUUAAAGAGUGAGAAAAAAUUUUACUUCUGGAGAAGAAGUUUCCAUGGAGAGUCUCCUGGUGUGUCUCUAUCCUGAGUGGGACUGCUCCAGAUUCAUCUGCAAUCAUAGUGAAAUCACAUCUACUCCUAUCAACAGAGUUUUCCCCUAAAACCUGUGGAGACAGAUCUUAGGAAAAAAAUGAAACUAUAUUUCUGCAAGAAGCAGACGUUUGAAGCUCAUUAUUUUCCCACACCUUGAGCAUCAUCUUCACAGAAAAACAUACAGCAGGCUCAAUCCAUCCAGGAUCUACCAUCAAACUCUUUCCUCUACCAGAAUGCUUUCUCAGGUGACCAUCCCCAGCUCCCCAAGCCUGGCUACAGAGGACAUGAGAUCCAGCACCGAAGACAAAGACAGUAAUGAGCCAAAACAGACCUGGAAAGCUGCAUAGGAACUCAAGCUGUCUCCUUUCAAAAUGAUUUGGCACAAGUAUUUAGCACGCGGCCUGCAAAGGGGCUGGAGCUCUUGGUGCUGUGUCUGUGAAGAUGCAGAGGGCCCAGAGCCUGGGAAAAGGAGAGGUGCUCCAAGUAGGACUUUUAAGGGCCCAAAUCCAGAAUUGUGAUGCUGAUUCAGCUGUUAUUUAGCCCCUCAGGCAGUUAUGUUUCAAGGGCACCUCAGGCUUUUAUGGUUAAUUUUUCCAGAUGCCUGAACCGUUUUCUCACUCCCAAUAAAUUUCCAGAAA